CAAAAACAUAGCUAGAUGUAAUUAUAUUUAGUGCUUCCUGCUCAAUGAUAUAUUUAAUAGCCGCAGUACCUUGACUGUGCAAAGGUAGCAUAAUCAAUUGGCUUAUAAUUGAAGUCUAGAAUGAAAGGAUAUACGAGUAGUUACUGUAUCUGAUAUUUACUGCAAAGUUAAUUUUCAAGUGCAAAUACUUGUAAAUAAUUGUUAGACGAGAAGACCCUAGAAAUUUAUAUUAAUGUUUCGUUGGGGCAACGUAGUAGAAAAACCUACAGUUAAAGACAAGAAAAAAAUUUGAGAGAAAAA
rnacentral:rRNA from 1 species